CACCUGAUGAGUAUCUUGCCAUAAAGAUGACGUUAUGAACAGACGAAUGAAGUAAAAACAAAAGGUCUGCUGCAGCUGUGCUGGAAUCCUCCGUUGUGUCAACUCCUGCCAGGACUCUGGAGACCACCGCUCUGAUCUGCUCCUGUUCGGAGCCACUGAACCCCUAGAUUUAGCUUCCAUGCUUCCAGCAAAUUAGCUCUCUAGAGAGGGUCUUGACUAAUUGCUCUUGAACUUUUUACCCUCAAUCUGACACACAUUAACACCAGAGCUAUGUUUAAUUUAGAAUUUAAUUGAGAUUGCCUUUUAAAUUCAUAUGAAAUGGAGGAAUUUGCAAUGUGAAUUUAAGGCAGCAGAAUUACAGUACAAAGAAAUGUCAUAUAAUGAUAAGAGGACAAACCAAGGAUAAACUAAAUUAUACUUACCAACACACAACAUGUCUGAACCAGAUACAGUGUAAUUUGUUCCGUCUACAUUUACUUGAUGUGAAACUGUUGCGUAUGCGAUGUCGAGUAAUGAGAUUUCACAGUGGGCGGGGCUCCUCAGAGUGGCAAAGUGUUACCAUUGUUAAAGAAAACUAAAU